rnacentral:lncRNA from 1 species
CAUUAGCACGUCUGGGUGUGGGAGUUGAUUGACUAUGAACUAUUAUAAUGCAUCAGAAUGUUUAUUGGGAUGCUGAGCAGGUGUAAAAAUAAAUAAAUAAAGACAAACCAACAAAUUAGCAGAGGUAUUCAGAAUUAAGCUCCACUUUCCCACUGUUUGCAUUGCAGUUCACAGUGUACUGUAAUAUAAAUCAAAGGUCCCCAACUCAGUAAUGGGAAUUAAUUUGAAAGGUACCGUUCACAGUAUUAAUUAUGUGGUGCACCGCUUAUGUGAAAGCAGGAAACAAGUCACACAGCAUCACUUGAGUAGAACCGCUAUCGGAUUCAACCUGUUGCUAGGAGGGAAACUAAAGGCUUUUGCCGCUGCUGCGGUGUUCAAGUGGUGUCGGACAUUACAGUGUUAAAAACCACGUCAAAGAAAACACACGCAACAUACAGUCUCUAGCUCGAAAAAUAAAUAAAAUUAUAAAAUAGCUAAGCCUCUGUUAUUUUCUGAGAUAAUGUGCACAUACAAUAGUUCUUUUUUUUAUUUUUUAAAUUUAUUUUUUAAAGUUGUUUUACGUCCGUACGAUACCAUUUUCCAUCUGGCAACACAGUGUAGCAGCAGCAUUUCUUCACCAGACCCUCUUUAGUCAAACCUGCUGUGCAAAGUUCCGCUCUCCGUCUCUCUCUCUCUCUCUCCCGUUUCCGCGCGGACGCCGAGGCCGCUCGCAGCAGCGCCGUAGCCAUGGAGACGCGCAAUUACCCGCGAUGCCAACAAUUCACGCUGAAUAAUUUUACCAGCGACCGGACGGGCGCGCGGGGCUGCGGGAACCUCCCCCUCGGCCGCUGUUACCCGCGUCUCCUCCCUCACCUACUGUAGCUCGCCCCGGUUCAGCGCUCAUCCGCCACGUGUUCCAUUCAUGAAACAGACGAUUAUGACGUUUUGCAAGAGAAAUAACCAGACCAGAGUCCAGCUGCUGUCACCCUGCAUCUGCCCCCCCCCCCCGCCUCAAACCAAAGCAAUGAGAUCACGCCGCCUCUUCCAUCUUACUUUGUCAACAUACAGCUGUGCAUCCCACCUCCUCUCUGCUCACAGCUGGGUCCUGCAGGGCGCUCCAGGCAGGUCAACUACCAUCACGGUCCUGAAGGCUGAUGCAGGUCCAAGUCACAGCGACGCCCCUGUUGCCUUUCCGUGCAGACGACACAGAUUUCCAACAUUAUUGUGCCAGAUCCACUCAGAAGCUUUUCCCUGAGCCCGCAAUCUCCUUUCCCUUUUGAACAUUAAGAUUUAAAGUCCGACCCGCGGCUUCAUGCUGCCAGUGUUUAGCUGCACUACAAAAGCGCUGUUUGUCAAAGCUAUUUGGGUGUUAUUGUUCCCUAACUCCUCCUCUUCCUUCACAUAUCCCUUUUUCAUGCAAUGUUAAGCAACAAAAAGUCGCACAGCUGGGAGAGGGAAUCUGUCAACACAAAGUCCAAACUACUGUAUACUAACUGUGUGAAUCUCCUGGUUUUUAGCAGACUUGAGAGCACUAAUCCAAAUCUGGCAGCCUGUUCACUUGCCAACAUUAACAUCACACUAAGGAUGAGUCAGAUAUAAAAUAAAUAUGCAUCUAUUUUUACCUCA